CUACCGUUUGGGAUUCAAUGCAGAUGACGUGUUUGGUAAGCCCAGGAUAUGUGCACAACCAAUCAAGGUGCAGAGAGACAGCGAUCUACCACGCAACACUGGCCUCAAGCUUCGAAGAAAACGCCGUAUCAAAUUGAUUUGAAUUUGACAUACAACCAGCCUGAUACAUACAAUUGCAGUGUUUUUACGGUGUCUUAUCCACCGUAUGUCAAUGCAGCCAUGGCAGCAACAUCGCUUGCCCAUCUGCAUGGUGAUCUUCGUUAAUAGUCACAAUAAAUCUGAAAAUGUUUGCAUAUGUUCUUCGUUUAUCUGAUGAUAAAAGUUGAUAAAAUAAUUUUUCAAAUGACUUUUUCGUAAUUCAUGCAAUAAAAAAUA
rnacentral:lncRNA from 1 species